AAGUCGUAACAAGGUUUCCGUAGGUGAACCUGCGGAAGGAUCAUUAACACGUAUCCAACGUUAAACCCCCCCUGUGAACUUUUACUCUUGCCCCGAGGCUCGUCCCAAAUUGCAAUCCCUGGUAAAUCAUUGUUGAACAGAUUUUGAUUCAGGGACCUCAGUUUGUGACUUGAUUAGUUGAGCGAUCGUGCGCAAGUGGCCUGGUUUCCCCAAGCAGUCAGUGUCUGAAAGUGUGCGGCCCCAUAUUUACCCCACUAACUAUCAAACCCGCCCUAAUGGAAACUGUGGGCGUUACAAAACUUGAACAACUGUUAACAAUGGAUAUCUUGGUUCUC
rnacentral:misc_RNA from 1 species